GCGCAAUUAUUCGUAAUGCAUUUUCCAUAGGGUACCACUGGUGUUCCGUAUUUUUUUUUCUCAAAGACUACACAAACUAGGGAAAAAAGGGUAGCAGUUCCUGUUACUAGAAAUGCCAGUGUUGCAUUACAACCAAAUAUAUAUAUAGGGUCAUAUGCGGCUCAAAUUGACUUAAAAUGCAGUUGAAAAAGAUCGUCUAUUUUUUUCGCUUAAUGAAAAAGGCAUAUUUUUAAUGGCUCCGACGUGCAGAAAUGGAAGAUAUUUUCUAUACUUCGUAAAAUGUGAAUAUGAGUUUCGGCAAUUUUUACACCUAAUUGGAUUAGCUUUCGAUUAAAUGUAAUUCCAAUCCUGUAUCAU
rnacentral:lncRNA from 1 species